CGGAGGGAUCCAAGCGUUAUCCGGAUUCAUUGGGUUUAAAGGGUGCGUAGGCGGAGUGAUAAGUCAGUGGUGAAGCCUGCAGCUUAACUGCAGAACUGCCAUUGAUACUGUCAAUCUUGAGUACAUUUGAUGAGGGCGGAAUGUGUCAUGUAGCGGUGAAAUGCUUAGAUAUGACACAGAACACCGAUUGCGAAGGCAGCUCUCAAAACUGUAACUGACGCUGAGGCACGAAAGCGUGGGUAUCAAACAGGAUUAGAUACCCUGGUAGUCCACGCUGUAAACUAUGAUUACUCGAUGUUUGCGAUAUACUGUAAGCGUCUAAGCGAAAGCGAUAAGUAAUCCACCUGGGGAUACGCUCGCAAGAGUG
rnacentral:rRNA from 1 species